AGGGAAUCUUCGGCAAUGGGGGCAACCCUGACCGAGCAACGCCGCGUGAGUGAAGAAGGUUUUCGGAUCGUAAAGCUCUGUUGUAAGUCAAGAACGGGUGUGAGAGUGGAAAGUUCACACUGUGACGGUAGCUUACCAGAAAGGGACGGCUAACUACGUGCCAGCAGCCGCGGUAAUACGUAGGUCCCGAGCGUUGUCCGGAUUUAUUGGGCGUAAAGCGAGCGCAGGCGGUUUGAUAAGUCUGAAGUUAAAGGCUGUGGCUCAACCAUAGUUCGCUUUGGAAACUGUCAAACUUGAGUGCAGAAGGGGAGAGUGGAAUUCCAUGUGUAGCGGUGAAAUGCGUAGAUAUAUGGAGGAACACCGGUGGCGAAAGCGGCUCUCUGGUCUGUAACUGACGCUGAGGCUCGAAAGCGUGGGGAGCGAACAGGAUUAGAUACCCUGGUAGUCCACGCCGUAAACGAUGAGUGCUAGGUGUUGGAUCCUUUCCGGGAUUCAGUGCCGCAGCUAACGCAUUAAGCGCUCCGCCUGGGGAGUACGACCGCAAGGUUGAAAC
rnacentral:rRNA from 1 species